ACUCCUACGGGAGGCAGCAGUGGGGGAUAUUGCACAAUGGAGGAAACUCUGAUGCAGCGACGCCGCGUGAGGGAAGAAGGUCUUCGGAUUGUAAGGCUCUGUCAUCUGGGACGAUAAUGACGGUACCAGAGGAGGAGGCCACGGCUAACUACGUGCCAGCAGCCGCGGUAAU
rnacentral:rRNA from 1 species